AUUGAACGCUGGCGGCAGGCCUAACACAUGCAAGUCGAGCGGAUGACAGGAGCUUGCUCCUUGAUUCAGCGGCGGACGGGUGAGUAAUGCCUAGGAAUCUGCCUGGUAGUGGGGGACAACGUUUCGAAAGGAACGCUAAUACCGCAUACGUCCUACGGGAGAAAGCAGGGGACCUUCGGGCCUUGCGCUAUCAGAUGAGCCUAGGUCGGAUUAGCUAGUAGGUGAGGUAAUGGCUCACCUAGGCGACGAUCCGUAACUGGUCUGAGAGGAUGAUCAGUCACACUGGAACUGAGACACGGUCCAGACUCCUACGGGAGGCAGCAGUGGGGAAUAUUGGACAAUGGGCGAAAGCCUGAUCCAGCCAUGCCGCGUGUGUGAAGAAGGUCUUCGGAUUGUAAAGCACUUUAAGUUGGGAGGAAGGGCAGUGAGUUAAUACCUUGCUGUUUUGACGUUACCGACAGAAUAAGCACCGGCUAACUCUGUGCCAGCAGCCGCGGUAAUAC
rnacentral:rRNA from 1 species